CUGAGUUAGCUUGGACACCCAGGCCCUCUAUUUAUAGACUAUUAAAUGGUGAUUUCAAAAUGUUAUAAGGCUUAUAACCCUUUCCAAAGUGAUCAGCAGCAACAGCUGCUUCUUUGAGAUCAUGGCUGUAUUUUUUUCUUCGUCUUCAGAACACCAACCUGCCAAACGUUCUUCUUUUAUUGAGAAUUAAGAUUUCACUUCACAGGAUCUAAAGGGCCACAGUGUACCAAGCGAGGUCCAUGAAGACACGAUUUGCAAAGAUGGGUGCACAUGUACACAAGUAGCCUUCACUGACCCCUGACCUCAACCCCACUGACCUCCGUUGGGAUGAAUACAUAUUAAAGGUCCUUGUCACUACUUGUACCUGCAACCAAUCAGGCUGCACAGGUAGUCAAGUUCCUCCAGGAUGGCACAGCCAUCACAAGGAACUAUAUGUCCCCCAGCACAGUUUCAAGAGCAUAGGGGAUAACCGGGAGACAUAAUUACACAGGGAGAACAUUUAUCCUUUGCUGCUCCUUCAUGCGAGAAGGAACAGAAGGAGCACCUCCAGGACCCUACAAAAUGACCUCCAGCAGGCUACUGCAGAAACAGACUCCAUGAGGGUGGCAUGAGGACCUGACAUCUUCUAUUGGGACCUACUGUAUAUUCACAGCCAAGUACCAUGCACCUCAAUUUACAUUUGCCAGAGAACAGCAGAACUGGCAAAUCCUCCACAUGUGACAGACAUGAAGUAAUCAUCCAGCAUGACCAGGUUGGUGGUGAACUAGUGAUGGUAAGGGAAGAAAUAUCCUUGGUGGGUCUUACAGACCUCCAUGUGCUAGCCAACGGUACCCUUACAUUGCAGUUAGGUACCAAAAUGAAAUUCUCAGAGCCAUUGUUGGAACUUUUACUGGAGCUCCUGGUGCAUUGUGCAGAGAUGACAAAAUCCUCGUUGACUGGCCCUUAUGUUCCCCAGACCUGAAUCCAUUUAAUAACCCCUGGGUCGUAAUGUAUGAGUGUCCAAAGCCACCAAGUAGCACAGACCAUGGAUUGUCCAGGGGCUCAUUGAUGCCCUGAUCCAGGUCUGGGAGGAGAUCCACCAGGACACCAUCCACCAUCUGAACAGGAGCAUGUACUUAUGUACUUAUGGGCAUGGGUGUACACAAUACUAACAAAUUAAGUAUCGCUGUAAUGAAAUUCAGGCAAAUUGGAUCAGCCUGUAAUUUACAUUUCUUAUUUUGAGUUUUGCUGUGAUUUUGACUCCAGCCCCGAUUGGAUUGAUGACUUUGGUUUCUAUUCACUACUGUCACAUUUUGUUCUAAACAAUUUACAUAGUGUAAAGAAGUAAAGAUUUUAUCUCAUU